ACACACGCUUUACUGUGGCCAAACGCUGGGACUUCUCCUUUGGACCAGUUCUGCGUGGGACCUAGACGCCCCCCACCCCGUCUCUUAGCCCCCCCCCCAUCCUGAUCUCCCCCGCUGUGGCCUAGAGGCCUGUGGCCACUGUCAAGGGGCCCCCCGUCUGGAGGGCUUGGGUCCGGCUCCCCCGCCGCCACGGUGAUUUAUUCGCCUCACUCGACGGAAUCAGGUGCUGAACCGAGCCCCGGAACGAGGGAACAGAUUUCUCCCAGGAAGGGUUUUGUGAACUUAACGAUGCUAAUUACGGGGUGCGGGACGCGCUGCUGGAGGAGGAGGAGGGGAGGCACGCUGGGCCAAGCUGGGCCAGCUUGGGGAAAGGCUUAGGCUGCGGGCCUCCCUGGGCGCCUUCCAGAAGCCUCCCUUACGCCUCUCGUCCGGGCUUCACCCUUCCCUGGGAACUUUCCUGUCUGAGUUAACUAUUAACCGUUGGCGAGAGGCAAUUUUCUUCGGAAUUUCAGCGAUUUCCUUUUCGCCGCGGAAGCAGAUUAACAUGCAAACGGGGAGGCGAUCGGCUCGAGUCUGUCUCUCCAAACUGCCCCGACCGCCGGACAGCGGAAAACUACAGCCCCGGCCACCCCACGCCUGCUUGAGCAGGGGCCGUGACCCAGCCAGUACCCGCAGAGAAGGUGGAAAAAGCCCAGCGUUUGUGCUGGAGCAAAGUUGGGGGUGGGAUGGGGGGCUUAACCCAGACUUAGCCAGAGACCUCAGCCGUUAGCGUGUACAGUCACACCAGAAACCCAGAAGCACCACAGCCAGAUCCGGGUCCCAAGCCUUGCUCACUGGAAUGUUCAGAAGACACGGGCGAACACAGGGAGAAAGAGCCUUCUCAGGCGCGCAGACCCCCAAACGAUAACUCCCUUCCCCUCUCUUUGUCACAGCACCCCAGAGUGCGCACCCUGCUCAGGCUUCUGACCACCGCUGCAAACUUUGUUAAACUCCUUGCCCUCCCGCCCCGCCCCGGUUCUUUUCUUGCCUGGCCUGCUUUUCCUGAAGCAGGGAAAGAGAAGGUUAUCACCCUCGGAUCCUGAGAGUUGGGACCCUGUCUGGCAGGCACAUUAGCCUCUGGCCUCCCGCCAGGCUGCCAGACAGCGGAGCAUUCCUCGCUGAGAAGCACUGGUGACUGGAGCGGCCAGGCUUGCCAUGGCCCCUGCUGCUGUUCUUAGGGUUGCCCUUGUCUGAUUCUCCCAGGACACUCGGGACUUGUCCCAGUCUUAGGCACGGACACUGAUUGCGCCUUAUGAAGUUCUAACUGGUUUUGUGUCAGGAAGAUCUUUCUCGCUGCUACCCAGCCUGGCGUGACGGAUUAAACAUCAACUAGUUAAAUAAAAAUUAAUAUCAACUGCC